GACGGACGCUGGCGGCGUGCUUAACACAUGCAAGUCGAACGGUGAAGCGCCUUCCUUUUUGGUGGGUGUGGAUGAGUGGCGAACGGGUGAGUAACACGUGAGUAACCUGCCCCCUUCUUCUGGAUAACCGCAUGAAAGUGUGGCUAAUACGGGAUAUUCUGGGUCUGUCGCAUGAUGGGUCUGGGAAAGAUAUUGUUUCGGUGGGGGAUGGGCUCGCGGCCUAUCAGCUUGUUGGUGGGGUGAUGGCCUACCAAGGCGGUGACGGGUAGCCGGCCUGAGAGGGUGGACGGUCACACUGGGACUGAGGCACGGCCCAGACUCCUACGGGAGGCAGCAGUGGGGAAUAUUGCACAAUGGGCGCAAGCCUGAUGCAGCGACGCCGCGUGAGGGAUGGAGGCCUUCGGGUUGUGAACCUCUUUCGCCAGUGAAGCAGGCCUGCCUCGUUUGUGGGUGGGUUGACGGUAGCUGGAUAAGAAGCGCCGGCUAACUACGUG
rnacentral:rRNA from 1 species